rnacentral:rRNA from 1 species
UACGUAGGGUGCAGGCGUUAAUCGGAAUUACUGGGCGUAAAGCGUGCGCAGGCGGUUUGCUAAGAGAGAUGUGAAAUCCCCGGGCUUAACCUGGGAACUGCGUUUCUAACUGGCAGGCUUGAGUGUGGCAGAGGGGGGGUGGAAUUCCACGUGUAGCAGUGAAAUGCGUAGAGAAUGUGGAGGAACACCGAUGGCGAAGGCAGCCCCCUGGGCUAACCACUG